UCUGGACUGCCAGCUGAAGGCCAGUCAGGAAACCAGAGCACAUCAACAUUAGAUGCUCAGAUUUUGACAGAUGAAUCUAGGCUAGGAGAGAGGUAUUCAGCUGGCCUAUGUAAAAUGUGUCUAGUUUAGAGUGAGCUCAGUAACUCUCUAAACCCAUUAACUGAGUGACAAGAUUGCAACAGGAUCUUGUGUGACUAACUCACAUGUAUGUAUCUACAUUUUGGCACUGGAACACAAUCUACUCCUUUCAAAUGGCUGCGUUCAGUCACCUAAACAGAUUGUUCCAUCUGAGGUGCACUAGGAUAUUCAAGAUACUACACAGGGCUGCCUGGAGACCUAUAGGACAUCUGACAUGACAUCUUUUUCACAUGCAGCUGGAGGCAUCUGCUGCUGAACGCCAUCAUCAGAAGUGUCAGACCAGAAGAUGCAGGAUGAUGUUUCUAUAUUCCACUAGGAUUCUAUAAUACUGAACUGCUGAUGUUACUCCCA